CAAGUCGAACGCUCGUAGCAAUACGGGAGUGGCAGACGGGUGAGUAACGCGUGGGAACAUACCCUCCGGUUCGGAAUAGCUCAGGGAAACUUGGAUUAAUACCGGAUACGGCUGAGAGGCGAAAGAUUUAUCGCCGGAGGAUUGGCCCGCGUUCGAUUAGCUUGUUGGUGAGGUAACGGCUCACCAAGGCGAUGAUCGAUAGCUGGUCUGAGAGGAUGAUCAGCCACAUUGGGACUGAGACACGGCCCAAACUCCUACGGGAGGCAGCAGUGGGGAAUAUUGGACAAUGGGCGCAAGCCUGAUCCAGCCAUGCCGCGUGAGUGAUGACGGCCUUAGGGUUGUAAAGCUCUUUCGCUCGGGACGAUAAUGACGGUACCGAGAUAAGAAGCCCCGGCUAACUUCGUGCCAGCAGCCGCGGUAAUACGAAGGGGGCUAGCGUUGUUCGGAAUUACUGGGCGUAAAGCGCGUGUAGGCGGGUCUUUAAGUCAGGGGUGAAAUGCCAAGGCUCAACCUUGGAACUGCCUUUGAUACUGGAGAUCUUGAGUCCGGGAGAGGUGAGUGGAAUUGCGAGUGUAGAGGUGAAAUUCGUAGAUAUUCGCAAGAACACCAGUGGCGAAGGCGGCUCACCGGCCCGGAACUGACGCUGAGACGCGAAAGCGUGGGGAGCAAACAGGAUUAGAUACCCUGGUAGUCCACGCUGUAAACGAUGGAUGCUAGCCGUUGGGGAGCUUGCUCUUCAGUGGCGCAGCUAACGCUUUAAGCAUCCCGCCUGGGGAGUACGGUCGCAAGAUUAAAACUCAAAGGAAUUGACGGGGGGCCCGCACAAGCGGUGGAGCAUGUGGUUUAAUU
rnacentral:rRNA from 1 species